rnacentral:rRNA from 1 species
GAUGAACGCUGGCGGCGUGCUUAAUACAUGCAAGUCGAACGAAGCACCUUGGACAGAAUCCUUCGGGAGGAAGACCAUUGUGACUGAGUGGCGGACGGGUGAGUAACGCGUGGGUAACCUGCCUUGUACAGGGGGAUAACAGUUGGAAACGACUGCUAAUACCGCAUAAGCGCACAGUACCGCAUGGUACGGUGUGAAAAACUCCGGUGGUACAAGAUGGACCCGCGUCUGAUUAGCUUGUUGGUGAGGUAACGGCCCACCAAGGCGACGAUCAGUAGCCGACUUGAGAGAGUGAUCGGCCACAUUGGGACUGAGACACGGCCCAAAUCCUACGGGAGGCAGCAGUGGGGAAUAUUGCGCAAUGGGGGAAACCCUGACGCAGCAACGCCGCGUGAAGGAUGAAGGUCUUCGGAUUGUAAACUUCUUUUAUUAAGGACGAAGAAAGUGACGGUACUUAAUGAAUAAGCUCCGGCUAACUACGUG